UACGUAGGGUGCAAGCGUUAAUCGGAAUUACUGGGCGUAAAGCGUGCGCAGGCGGUCCGUUAAGACAGAUGUGAAAUCCCCGGGCUUAACCUGGGAAUGGCAUUCGGGACUGCAAGGCUGGAGUGCGGCAGAGGAGACUGGAAUUCCUGGUGUAGCAGUGAAAUGCGUAGAGAUCGGGAGGAACAUCAGUUGCGAAGGCGGCUCUCUGGACCAGCACUGACACUGAGGCACGAAAGCGUGGGGAGCAAACAGG
rnacentral:rRNA from 1 species